UUUGAAAAGUAUCCAACCCUAUAA
rnacentral:snRNA from 1 species